rfam:Nicotiana attenuata strain TT chromosome 2, whole genome shotgun sequence.
UGGAUAUAUUAUUGUAUUCGACUGUAUUCGACUGUAUUGACGGCGUAAAAUAGGGAAUUAUACUGUUUUUAAAACGGAAAGUGAAUCAAUUAACAUAAUACACUCCU